rnacentral:rRNA from 1 species
AUGGCUCUGGAGUUGUUGUACACUUCCCUCAUCUGCCUCGCCGCGCUCGCCGGCGGAGCCACCUCCGCUCCUCUGCACUUGCAGUGCCUGGACAACCCGCCGGACCUGACCGCCGCCGGAGCCCAGGCGGGAAAGGUCGUCGAUGACCUGUCCGGCUUCAGGGCCUACGUCACCGGCCCUGUCCACUCCGACCGGGCCAUCGUCCUGGCCUCCGACAUCUUCGGAUUCGAAGCGCCAUUGCUGAGGUUCGACCAUCUUCUCCCGUUGCACUCGCUGUCAUUUGAUCUACGUAUUUUUUUCUUCAAAAAACGAUAUAUUCUUUCGGAAGAAGGUUCAUCACCUUCGAUCUCUACACCAGGAAGGCAGGCAGCCGACAAAGUUGCUGAAGCUGGAUACUACGUUGUGGUGCCUGAUUUCUUCAAUGGGAAACCUUACACGGGUGACCCAAGUGUAAACAUCACACAGUGGAUAGAUGAUCACUCUCCGGUAAAAGCCGCUCGAGAUGCCAAACCAAUUUUUGCGACCUUGAAAAAAGAGCGAAAAUCUAUUAUUGGAGUUGGGGGAUACUGUUGGGGUGGAAAGUUUGCAGUGGAGAUAGCAAAAAUGGACGAGGUGAAGGCAAUUGUCAUCUCCCAUCCUUCAUCCAUCGUUGUUGAUGAUAUGAGAGAGGUCAAGUGCCCCAUUGAGAUCCUUGGAGCUCAAAAUGACACAACUACACCACAGAAGUUCAUAUAUCAGUUUUUGCAUGCCCUUCGUAAAAGAAGUGAUAAGGUACCUUACUUCGGCAAGAUCUUUCCAGGAGUUGCACAUGGCUUUGCUUGUGGAUACAAUAGCACCGACCCAUUUGCAGUUAGAACAGCUGAACAAGCUCUUGCCCUAAUGCUCGGCUGGUUCAAGAAAUACAUGGAAUAA